rnacentral:rRNA from 1 species
CAUGGCUGUCGUCGGCUCGUGUCGUGAGAGUGUUCGGGUUAAGUCCCGUAACGAGCGCAACCCUUGUCCUUAGUUACCAGCACGUUAAUGGUGGGCACUCGUAAGGAGACUGCCGGUGACAAACCGGAGGAAGGCGGGAUGACGUCAAGUCAUCAUGGCCUUACGGCCUGGGCUACACACGUGCUACAAUGGUCGGUACAAAGGGUUGCCAAGACCGCGAGGUGGAGCUAAUCCCAUAAAACCGAAUCGUAGUCCGGAUCGCAGUCUGCAACUCGACUGCGUGAAGUCGGAAUCGCUAGUAAUCGUGAAAUCAGAAUGUCACGGUGAAUACGUUCCCGGGCCUU